GGAAAAGUUCAGUCUGUAUCCAAACUUAGUAAACUGAAAGAUCCUAUAUCCAGAGAGAGAAGAAAUGGAGGGAGGCAAGGAGAUUCAAACUCAGAUAUUUAUAACAACAUGUAAGAUGAAGAAUUGAAUUCUCUUGGAUGAUUUUCAAGGACCUGGUGUAUCUGGAUCAGAAAAUGGAGUACGAAAAAUAAAGAAUAAUGGUUUUCAUUUUCCCAUUACAUUCAAAACUCAUAAGGAAAAUCCAGCAGGGAAGCAGAGAAGGUUCAGCUGUCUGAACUGGCUGGAAAGACAGUUGUGCAGAUGGGAUCCAGUGUUUCUUCUUUACACAUGGAAACAGAGGGAACCACUGGGCUUACCAGGUCGGCCUAACAGAGGUCUCCAACACUUGUAUCCAGAAGACAACUUUCAUGCCUGCUUGCCUCCAGUAUUUUGGUUAAGUUUAUGCCAUCUCUAAUUUCUCUGGCACAAAAUCAUCGUAUCUCAAACCAGAAAAUUCCAUUGCUGAAUGGGAAACUGAAUUGUAAGGUAAUGUCAAUGCUAUUGCUCUUGUCCAUGCUCAGGGAGGGAAUUGCCAUUCAAAAAGUACUGUGGCAGGCCUAGAGAAAUCCAGAUAGGCUGGCAGAAUCCUUUGCACUAAAAGUCAGUCGCAACAGAGGAAAAGCAGUUGGUACUGCCACAAGUCCCAUGUAAGUAGCCCAUUGAGGUGCCUAUUGUCCCAGGCAGGUUCAUGGAGUGACCCCCACUGACUUAAGAAAAUCUGGAUGAAGCCUGAGGACUGUGCACAAUUUCCAUGAUGCUCACAAAUUUCCACAGAGCUGUCUGGAGGAGACAAGCAGACUGGUACAGGACAACACAAGGCUGUCUUAGGGACAUCACUGCAAAAGCUU
rnacentral:lncRNA from 1 species